UUAGUGGCGCACGGGUGCGUAACGCGUGGGAACCUGCCUUUAGGUUCGGAAUAACUCAGAGAAAUUUGAGCUAAUACCGGAUAAUGUCUUCGGACCAAAGAUUUAUCGCCUUUAGAUGGGCCCGCGUUAGAUUAGAUAGUUGGUGGGGUAAUGGCCUACCAAGUCGACGAUCUAUAGCUGGUCUGAGAGGAUGAUCAGCCACACUGGGACUGAGACACGGCCCAGACUCCUACGGGAGGCAGCAGUGGGGAAUAUUGGACAAUGGGCGAAAGCCUGAUCCAGCAAUGCCGCGUGAGUGAUGAAGGCCUUAGGGUUGUAAAGCUCUUUUACCAGGGAUGAUAAUGACAGUACCUGGAGAAUAAGCUCCGGCUAACUCCGUGCCAGCAGCCGCGGUAAUACGGAGGGAGCUAGCGUUGUUCGGAAUUACUGGGCGUAAAGCGCGCGUAGGCGGCUUUUCAAGUCAGGGGUGAAAUCCCGGGGCUCAACCCCGGAACUGCCCUUGAAACUGGAUGGCUAGAAUACUGGAGAGGUGAGUGGAAUUCCGAGUGUAGAGGUGAAAUUCGUAGAUAUUCGGAAGAACACCAGUGGCGAAGGCGACUCACUGGACAGUUAUUGACGCUGAGGUGCGAA
rnacentral:rRNA from 1 species